rnacentral:rRNA from 1 species
AACGCUAGCUACAGGCUUAACACAUGCAAGCCGAGGGGCAUCAGGGUAGCAAUACCGCUGGCGACCGGCGCACGGGUGAGUAACACGUAUCCAACCUACCGUUAACUCGGGGAUAGCCUUUCGAAAGAAAGAUUAAUACCCGAUAGUAUAUUUUCUUCGCAUGUUGAAAAUAUUAAAGAAUUUCGGUUAUCGAUGGGGAUGCGUUCCAUUAGGCAGUUGGCGGGGUAACGGCCCACCAAACCUACGAUGGAUAGGGGUUCUGAGAGGAAGGUCCCCCACAUUGGAACUGAGACACGGUCCAAACUCCUACGGGAGGCAGCAGUGAGGAAUAUUGGUCAAUGGACGAAGGUCUGAACCAGCCAAGUAGCGUGAAGGAUGACUGCCCUAUGGGUUGUAAACUUCUUUUAUAUGGGAAUAAAGUUCUCCACGUGUGGAGUUUUGUAUGUACCAUUAUGAAUAAGCAUCGGCUAACUCCGUGCCAGCAGCCGCGGUAAUACGGAGGAUGCGAGCGUUAUCCGGAUUUAUUGGGUUUAAAGGGAGCGUAGGUGGACUGGUAAGUCAGUUGUGAAAGUUUGCGGCUCAACCGUAAAAUUGCAGUUGAUACUGUCAGUCUUGAGUACAGUAGAGGUGGGCGGAAUUCGUGGUGUAGCGGUGAAAUGCUUAGAUAUCACGAAGAACUCCGAUUG